rnacentral:rRNA from 1 species
UACAGAGGUCCCGAGCGUUAGGCGGAAUCACUGGGCUUAAAGCGUGUGUAGGUGGAUCGUUAAGUACCUUGUGAAAUCCCCCGGCUCAACCGGGGAACUGCUGGGUAUACUGGCGAUCUUGAGCAAUCUAGGGGCAGAUGGAACAAGUGGUGGAGCGGUGAAAUGCGUAGAUAUCACUUGGAACGCCAAAGGUGAAAACAGUCUGCUGGGGAUUUGCUGACGCUGAGACACGAAAGCCAGGGGAGCGGACGGG